GAUGAACGCUGGCGGCGUGCCUAAUACGUGCAAGUCGAGCGAACAGAUAAGGAGCUUGCUCCUUUGACGUUAGCGGCGGACGGGUGAGUAACACGUGGGUAACCUACCUAUAAGACUGGGAUAACUUCGGGAAACCGGAGCUAAUACCGGAUAAUAUUUCGAACCGCAUGGUUCGAUAGUGAAAGAUGGUUUUGCUAUCACUUAUAGAUGGACCCGCGCCGUAUUAGCUAGUUGGUAAGGUAACGGCUUACCAAGGCGACGAUACGUAGCCGACCUGAGAGGGUGAUCGGCCACACUGGAACUGAGACACGGUCCAGACUCCUACGGGAGGCAGCAGUAGGGAAUCUUCCGCAAUGGGCGAAAGCCUGACGGAGCAACGCCGCGUGAGUGAUGAAGGUCUUCGGAUCGUAAACUCUGUUAUUAGGGAAGAACAUACGUGUAAGUAACUGUGCACGUCUUGACGGUACCUAAUCAGAAAGCCACGGCUAACUACGUG
rnacentral:rRNA from 1 species